UUAAAUGAAUUGACGGGGACCCGCACAAGCAGCGGAGCGUGUGGUUUAAUUCGUUGCUACACGAAGAACCUUACCUGGGUUUGACAUAUAAGUUGUAGGGAACUGAAAAGGGACCGACCUUCGGGGAGCUUAUACAGGUGUUGCAUGGCUGUCGUCAGCUCGUGUCGUGAGAUGUUCGGUUAAGUCCGCUAACGAGCGCAACCCUCGCCGUAUGUUACAAGUGUCAUACGGGACUGCCGGUAAAAGCCGGAGGAAGGUGAGGAUGAUGUCAAGUCAGCAUGACCUUUAUAUCCAGGGCUACACACACGCUACAAUGGUCUGUACAAUUGGUUGCCAAGCCGCGAGGCGGAGCCAAUCCGUAAAGCAGGCCUCAGUUCAGAUUGCAGUCUGCAACUCGACUGCAUGAAGCCGGAGUUGCUAGUAACCGCAGGUCAGCAAUACUGCGGUGAAUACGUUCCCGGGUCUU
rnacentral:rRNA from 1 species